CAGCUUUUUCCUGGUAUAAAACAGAUUAUAGGAAAUAAAUGAAAAAUAGCCUCCCAAAUGGCCAAAAUGCCAAAUACCACCUCGAAUAGUGUCAAAUACAUCAAAUAAUCUAGCUAGAUCGUCACACCAAUUAAAAUAUUACAAACAUAAAUACAGUGGUAUGUGCUACAAACAUGAAACAUCAUAGUUUAGGCAGGAACUUCAGCUCCCCUCGUACCUUUUGUCCGGUUACUUUUCAUAAUUCUUUAACAGGAAGAAAAACCCACAUAUCCCAAUUCCAACUCAAUGACACUUAUCUCCAAAAUAGGCUCCCCAAACCAUUAUCAGCCACCUCAAUAAAUGAGGGAAGAAUCCUAUUGAGACAAUAAAACAGUAGCUAAAAUCAAUAAAUAUUAAAUAUAAAACAGGGCAUCAGAGGGGAGAAAUUAAAAACAAAUAUAUAUUGAUCAGAAUCGAACAAAAGAGAUAUAACCUCCAGGUUAACUAGACAUGUAAAUAGCGUCAAUUGAAUAAGAAGAACAAAAAAAUACAUUCACAACUACAGCAACAACUCCAAUGGACAUCAAAUUAGCAAAUUAGCCGAACCAACAAAUAAUCUAAGAUGGCCCCAGACUAUGUUUAAUCUAGAUAUAAUCACUAACAUGUAAUUUCAUUGAGAUAUAUUACACGAAAGUGUUAUAAAAUCUGCAUUCAGACUAUAACUCAAAGCACCGAUGAAAUAAAAAAAAAAAAAAAAAACGAGACCAUAAUUCAAAACUAACACUAAUUAUUUAUUUCUUAGCUUGAUAACUCACCAAUUAUUAAUCAACGGACAUUAUAUAGAUAUUCUGUAAUUUAACACUUGAAAAAGUGUUGAAUAAACAUCCAAUUCAAAACAAGUACUAGUAAACCAGUUCAGUCUAACACUGGUAAUUUCACUGGUUCAAAUUCUAUUUAGAUUCCAACAUUGAAUCGAAUCUGCAUUCAGAAGAUAAUUCAGAACUGACACUAAUUAAUUAUUUCUUAGCUUGAUAACUCACCAACUAUCAAUCAACGGUCAAUGUAUAGAUAAUUCCAAAAUUACCUCUUCAGAAAGUGUUUGAAAUCAUCCAAUUCAAUUUAAGUACUAGAAAAUUAGUUCAGUCUAACACUGCUGAUUUCACUGGUUCAAAUUCUAUUCAGAUUCAAACAUUGAAUCCAAUAUAAAAAGAAAGAAACUAUCCAAUUCAGUGAAAACUGUUCCAACAAUCAAUAAUAAAAUCACGUUUGGCAAAGAAUUGGCAUAUUGUAGUUGGAGCAAAGAAAUGUGCAACUAUAGUACAACAAUUUCAAUCCGAAUCAAAAUCUAAUCUGAAUCAAAAUCAAGACGAAGACAUUAGAGUCAAUGAAGAAGACUGAAGAGGUAGUAGUGAAGAAGUGAUACCUGAAAUGACCAACGAGUAGGCAUAGGAUCCUCCGCCAUUACUUUCUUGAGAAUCGAGCAGAAAGAAAGAAAAAGAAAGAUCUGCAACUAUUUUUUUUUCUCUCUCCUCGAUCACUCACGCGAAAUCGAGCAGAAAAAAAACCUUACCAGCUAUAAUUCCAGAAGCUACCAUGAAUGAAUUGGAGAUGAAGAUGUUAGAUUGAGUUAGAGUCGUAGAGAAGAAGAAGGAGACGGGCAACUAGGUUUCCAGAAGAAGGAGAAGCUUAUAUGUUAUGUUGAAUUGUUGAUAUAUACUGGGGUAGGAUAGGAAUAAGAUAUAUUAGUGGGG
rnacentral:lncRNA from 1 species